UACGGAGGGUGCAAGCGUUAAUCGGAAUUACUGGGCGUAAAGCGCGUGUAGGCGGUUAUUUAAGUCAGAUGUGAAAUCCCUGGGCUCAACCUAGGAACUGCAUUUGAUACUGGAUGGCUAGAGUAUGGUAGAGGUGAGUGGAAUUUCAGGUGUAGCGGUGAAAUGCGUAGAGAUCUGAAGGAACAUCAGUGGCGAAGGCGACUCACUGGGCCAUUACUGACGCUGAGGUGCGAAAGCGUGGGGAGCAAACGGG
rnacentral:rRNA from 1 species